rfam:Oryza sativa Japonica Group DNA, chromosome 2, cultivar: Nipponbare, complete sequence.
UUUAAACGCAACCAUAAGUUUUUAUAUCUAAUUUUAAUCAUUCGUCUUAUUUAUUUUUUUUAUGAUUAGUACUUUUAUUGUUAUUAGAUGAUAAAAUAUGAAUAAUACUUUAUGAUAAAAUAUGAAUAAUACUUUAUGCGUGACUUAUGUUUUUUAUUUUUUUUAAAAAAAAAUAAAUAAGACGGACGAUAAAAGUUGGAUACGGAAACUCACGACUGCACUUAAA